rnacentral:rRNA from 1 species
GACGAACGCUGGCGGCGUGCUUAACACAUGCAAGUCGAACGGAAAGGCCCUGCUUGCAGGGUGCUCGAGUGGCGAACGGGUGAGUAACACGUGGGUGAUCUGCCCCUUACUUUGGGAUAAGCCUGGGAAACUGGGUCUAAUACUGGAUAGGACCAUGCUGUAGGUGGUGUGGUGGAAAGAUUAGUUUCGGUAAGGGAUGAGCUCGCGGCCUAUCAGCUUGUUGGUGGGGUAAUGGCCUACCAAGGCGUCGACGGGUAGCCGGCCUGAGAGGGUGGACGGCAACCUUGGGACUGAGAUACGGCCCAGACUCCUACGGGAGGCAGCAGUGGGGAAUAUUGCACAAUGGGCGCAAGCCUGAUGCAGCGACGCCGCGUGGGGGAUGACGGCCUUCGGGUUGUAAACUCCUUUCAGCCAUGACGAAGCCCUUGUGGUGACGGUAGUGGUAGAAGAAGCACCGGCUAACUACGUG